CAAAGUGCUGGGAUUACAGGCGUGAGCCACCCCACCCAGCCCUUCCCACGUAUUCUGGCAGGGAAUGCUGUUGUCCCCCAAGCCUACCCUAAGAGGAAGACUUCUUCUGGGGAAAGAUGUUCACUGUACCCAGGCCCUGCCCUGGCUGGAGCUGGCAGGAAGGGUCCCAGAGCAGGAACUUGUGCCACUCUGCCCAAAGCCAGAGUCCCUGAGGCACACACCCCAUCAGGCACCAAGGUGAAUUCCAACUGCCAGUUAGUAUUUAACUUUCCACAUACGAUUAGAUUAAACAUGUGGGUUCAUAAAAGCAUAGGAUUGCAGACUGCAGUUGCAAGGGCUUAGAUGGUUGUAAGGUGAAGGUGCCCAGCAGGCUGAGGCUUGUGUGCAACCCAGAAGAGAGCUCGCUAACGCCAGCAAGAAGGUUCAGAACAGCCUGGCUUUGGAAAGGAAUUUCAUCCUGCCCACACACUGCAUAGGUAAGUCUUAGCACACAUUCUUUAUUUUUUGAGGAAUUAAGUAACAAAGUUAUCUAUGUGCCUUUUCCAGAAAAUGAUAAAAGGAAUGAUUUUCCUGGUACAUGGCCUGGCUCCUCAUCCACUCUUCCUUCUUUCCUUCUUGUGUUUUCCUUACUCAUUUCUUUGUUAAUUGCCUUAGAAUGAAAAUUUUGAGAGUUUUUAAAAUGGAGGAUUCAUGGUAAACGUAGGUAAUCAUAUUGUUUUCUCUUCUUGAUAUAAAAAUGAAAGACUUUGCUGCCUUUUAUAGGCCCAGGUGAUGUGAGCGAUCUACCAUGUUUCAAGAAAAGAAAACUUUGGGGCUGGGCGCGGUGGCUCACGCCUGUAAUCCCAGCACUUUGAGAGGCUGAGGCAGGCGGAUCACCUGAGGUCAGGAGAUCGAGACCAGCCUGGCCAACAUAGUGAAACCCCAUCUCUACUAAAAAUACAAAAAAAAUUAGCCUGGCGUGGUGGCUGGCGCCUGUAGUCCCAGCUACUCAGGAAGCUGAGGCAGGAGAACGGCAUGAACCCGGGAGGUGGAGCUUGCAGUGAGCCGAGAUCACGCCACUGCACUCCAGCCUGGGCGACAGAGUGAGACUCCAUCUCAAAAAAAAAAAAAAGAAAGAAAAGAAAACUCUGGACUUUGGGGUCAAAUGAGUGUUACUUUCCUAAUAGUGUCCUGAUUGCUGUUGUCAUGAAUAACACACAUUCAUGACAGGAAUGGCUGGAAUUAGGGGAUCAUUCUGUAGCCUGGAGACAGGGCACAACUAAUGACAUGUGUAAGCUCAAAUCAUGGUCUUGAUCUUAUGUCUUGUACCCAGUUGAGCCAACUGGUCACAGCAAUGAAAACAGUGAGUUAUUGGAAUGUGUGACCUCUGCUAGGACAGUCAGUGCUGGACACUGGCUUGGGUGAUGUGAGUUCUAGUCCAGGCACUGUGGCCAACUUGAGAGGCUUGUGAUCUUGGACAGGUGACUUAAGCCCUCUAGGCUAUAGUUAUUCCACCUAUCAGAGAGCAAACCAGCCUAAAUGAUCUCCAGGGGCCCAGCCUGUGCUAGGACUCAGCAAGAAGCAUUCACUGGAAAUGUAGGUCCUCCUAGGUUGAUACACAUGAAUUGCCCAUAUUUGACCAUUUCUAACCUAUAUAAAUGGCUAUUUCAUAUAAUUCCAGAGAACAUAAAUGGUAGUUGUCUUAGCAUUACUAAAGUAAAUGCCUAUUAUGAUAUUCUACUUAGGGGUAGGAUAAGUAUGUAUACCAAAUAUGGUUUGUUUCGAUUUGAUUUUUGAGACAGGGUCUCACUGUCACUGCUGAGUGCAGUGGUGUGAUCAUGGCUUACUGCAGCCUUGACCUCCCAGGUUCAAGCUAUCCUCCCACCUCAGCCUCCUGAGUAGCUGGGACUAUAGGAGUGUGCCAUCACAUCCAGCUAUUUUUUUAUGUUUUGUAGAGGUGGUGUCUCGCUAUGUUGUCCAGGCUGAUCUCGAACUCCUGGGUUCAAGCGAUCCUCCCACCUCGGCCUCCCGAAGUGCUGGGAUUACAGGUGUGAACCACUGUGCCUGGCCUCCAAAUAUGGUUGAUGUCUAUCAGUCAGUUAAACAGUAAUUCUGGGAAUAAAAAAUUGAAAUCAACCCACUUAUAAUUGGAAUGUCUUAGCAUAAUGUCCUUCAACGAAGCUGCUUUCACACACUGUGAUUUGUUUUUUUCCUGUGGUCAUGGAGCAGGCAUGGGCCACUCGGCCACAUCUCAUGCAUCCGUAUUCAAAAGCCAAAUCCCUUUUGGAUCCUGUUUAUUUGGCCUGGCCACGGGUGAGCACUUAGACAUUUAAUCCCUAUAGGCCCUUUCAUCCCUGUGAUUAAGUCUUAUCAAAAAGCACCUCCUGACCGGCUUAGCAGUGGGGCCUUUGUUCACAUUAGAAGGGUUGAACAAAUAAUGGGCAGUUGGGGCUGCUUAGCUCUAAAAGGCUGGUGAACGCUGCCAUGCCUGCACCUGGAAACAAACCCAAAUGACUCCAGUGGAAUUCAGCACUGAAGUCCCUCAUCUCAAAGACCUUUUGUGGCAGAGACUCUUGGAUGGGCCUUAGGGGUCCCAGGAGUCCCCUGAAAUUGAAUGUAGAGCUUCCUACGUGCAUAGGUAUACUUUCUUGGGGAAAAAUUAAGUCACAUCAUUUUAUUUUACUUUUCGAGGGAUCUUUAACACCGCCCCUCCCCCACCCCCAAUUCCCACACCCCUUAAGAAUAAAUUAAGAAUCACUGUUCUGGUAGUUUCCAGUUGAAUUCCACAGAGGAACUGUCAUUCAUUCACACCUUCAUUCAACAGAUUUUUAGUAAAGAUUUGCUACGUACCCAUCGCUGUGUAGGGUCCCGGGAUUCAGAGAUGAGUAAAGCAAUCCCUGCCUUCCGGGGGCUCAAGCUCUCCUGUCAUCGGGACUCAGUUACUGAAUCUCACUAAACAUCCUGAAGGUAGGAGUUUAUAGAGUGGUUUUGAGGAUCACAUGAAUAAGCACACAAUACAUGGGUAAUUCAAAAACGAAAACAAGGCCGGGCACGGUGGCUCACGCCUGUAAUCCCAGCACUUUGGGAGGCCAAGGCAGGCAGAUCUCGAGGUCAGGAGUUCG
rnacentral:lncRNA from 1 species